UGGUAAAUGGUUUAUAUUAUCACGCACACCACGCGUAAGAGUGUAUGUCAUUUUUGUAAAUGUAAAUUUGUUGUACAUUUGUUACUUUAUUAAAAUGGGAAUAUUAGAAAAAAUAUCUGAAAUUGAAAAAGAAAUUGCUCGGACGCAAAAGAAUAAAGCUACUGAGUAUCAUUUAGGUUUAUUAAAAGCAAAACUUGCGAAAUAUAGAUCACAACUUUUAGAACCACCAAAAAAAUCUGAAAAAGGAGAAGGAUUUGAUGUAUUAAAAUCAGGAGAUGCAAGAGUAGCUUUGAUAGGCUUUCCUUCUGUAGGAAAAUCUACUUUAUUAAGUACAUUAACACAUACAGAAUCUGAAGCAGCAUCUUAUGAAUUUACUACUUUAACUUGUAUACCUGGUGUUAUUGAAUAUAAAGGAGCUAAUAUUCAACUUCUUGAUCUUCCUGGAAUAAUUGAAGGUGCUGCACAGGGUAAAGGAAGGGGUAGGCAAGUAAUAGCUGUUGCACGAACAGCUGAUUUAGUUCUUAUGAUGUUAGAUGCUACUAAACAAGAUGUACAAAGACAACUUUUAGAAAAAGAACUGGAAUCAGUUGGUAUACGACUUAAUAAAAAAAAGCCAAACAUAUAUUUCAAGAUAAAGAAAGGAGGUGGAUUAGCAUUCAAUUCAACAUGUCCAUUAACAAAAGUAGAUGAAAAAUUAGUUCAAAUGAUUUUACAUGAAUAUAAAAUUUUCAAUGCAGAAGUUCUAUUUCGUGAAGAUUGUAGUGCAGAUGAAUUAAUUGAUGUAAUUAAUGCCAAUAGAGUAUAUUUACCAUGUCUUUAUGUACAUAAUAAAAUAGAUCAGAUAUCAAUAGAAGAAGUGGAUAGAAUUGCCAGGCAACCUAAUAGUGUAGUAGUUAGUUGCAAUAUGAAAUUAAAUUUGGACUUCCUUCUUGAAACAUUAUGGGAAUAUUUAUCUUUAAUAAGAGUUUAUACAAAAAAACCUGGUCAACCACCUGAUUUUGAAGAUGGUUUAAUAUUAAGAAAAGGAGUUACAGUAGAACAUGUAUGUCAUGCAAUUCAUCGUACACUUGCUCAACAAUUUAAAUAUGCUCUUGUUUGGUCAAAUAAAAGGAUUGAUUAUGUUUGGUCUUAGCUGAAGAAAAUAUAUUUAUAACCAAACAUAGCAUAUCAUUGAAUAUAAAAUGAGGAAAUAUGUGAAUGAAGAAUUCAUAGAAGAUGGAAUACAUGAAUUACUCUACUACUUUUGAAUACUAGCAUAAAGGGAGAUAAAAUCGCGUAACGGGGCCCCAUCAGUGGACAGCACUGUUUUAGAACAAAAAAAAAAAUUGGGUACAAGUACCAAAUAUUCACCUCAACGAGUUGGAUUACAACAUAUUAUGCACGAUGAAGAUGUUAUUCAAAUAGUUAAAAAAUAAAAUUUAUAUAAUUAUAAAUUAUUUGUGAAAAUAGUAAAAGUAGAAUAUUAUAUAGUUUUGUUUAUACGUUUUAUACAUGUUUGCUGGAAAAAGAAGAGAGAGAGAGAGAAAGAAUUGUCAUUUAAAACUUAAAUGCUA
rnacentral:misc_RNA from 1 species